AACGAACGCUGGCGGCGUGGCUAAGGCAUGCAAGUCGAACGGGACUACCUGAGUAGCAAUACAAGGGUGGUUUAGUGGCGGACGGGUGAGUAAUGCAUGGGUAACGUACCUUGAGCACAGGGAUAGCGUCGGGCCCGCAAGGGUCCUUUGCGAAAGUGACGGUAAUACCUGAUGACAUCUCGAGACCUCAUGAUCUUGAGAUCAAAGGGGCGGGGAUCUUCGGACCACCGGCUCGGGAGCGGCCCAUGUCCUAUCAGCUUGUUGGUGGGGUAACGGCCUACCAAGGCUAUGACGGGUAGCCGGCGUGAGAGCGCGACCGGCCACAUCGGAACUGAGACACUGUCCGGACACCUACGGGUGGCUGCAGCAACGAAUAUUCCGCAAUGGGCGCAAGCCUGACGGAGCGACGCCGCGU
rnacentral:rRNA from 1 species